UUUUCCUAGGCUGUGAGUUUGGGAUUGCUGUCUGCAGCCCUGGGCGACGAGAUACCUCGCCCACCCCCAUCCUUCUCCCCGUCCCCCCCCCGCGCUCUCAACUCUUGUGCCUUGGAUCCUCGUGCAGUUUUCAUCCAUCUUUUCUCCAGAGCUGGGCCAGGGUGGUAACUGGAUGCUUGGGGUACAUGGUGCAGGAGCACAGAUUAGACGGAGGAGUCCCUGGGAUUUUUCACUUCUCCGUGUCCCCAGCCCGUCCACAGGGGUCCAGUUGGGACUGACCCAACCCUGGUCCCGCUUUCUCUUCGCAGGCGAUCAGUGGGCGACCGCAUCUGCGGGAGACUUUACCGUCCUUCCUCCAGGACGUUGGGGGAGAGAAGUGGUAGCUCCCAAUCCCCUGCAGCAUCGCCACCAUUUCGGACACCCCGCAGGCACUCGACUUGGGGUUUCAUCUGACUUCCAGGAAGGACUCUGACUCUAGCUCCGGCAGCCACCUGUCUUUGCCGCGGUGACCAUUUUUCUCAUGACCCUGCGGUGCCUCGAGCCCUCCGGGAAUGGCGCGGAAGGGACGCACAGCCAGUGGGGGACCGCGGGGUCGGCCGAGGAGCCGUCCCCGGAGGCGGCGCGUCUGGCGAAGGCCCUGCGCGAGCUCGGCUACACAGGCUGCAGGCUUCCGGGGUUUCCCUCAGCUGGAGAGACCCGCCGAUGACCUGUGUCCCGGAUGGUACUGGGGAAGUAUGACUGUUAAUGAAGCCAAAGAGAAAUUAAAAGAGGCGCCAGAAGGAACGUUCUUGAUUAGAGAUAGUUCACAUUCAGACUACCUACUAACAAUAUCUGUCAAAACGUCAGCUGGACCAACUAACCUUCGUAUAGAGUACCAAGAUGGGAAGUUCAGACUGGAUUCUAUCAUAUGUGUCAAGUCCAAGCUUAAACAGUUUGACAGCGUGGUUCAUCUGAUUGACUACUAUGUGCAGAUGUGCAAGGAUAAGCGGACGGGCCCGGAAGCCCCCCGAAACGGGACCGUUCACCUUUACCUGACCAAACCACUGUACACCUCUGCGCCCUCCCUGCAGCAUCUCUGCCGACUCACCAUUAACAAAUGCACCGGUACCGUCUGGGGCCUGCCUUUACCAACAAGACUCAAAGAUUACUUGGAAGAAUAUAAAUUCCAGGGAGAAAUGGAGGCCAGAGACAAACAAGUACUCCGCUCACUUCGCCUGGAGCUAGGUGCCGAAGUGCUGGUGGAGGGAUUGGUUCUUCAGUACCUUUACCAGGAAGGAAUCUUGACAGAAAACCAUGUUCAAGAAAUCAAAGCUCAAACCACAGGCCUCCGGAAAACAAUGCUGCUGCUGGAUAUCCUGCCUUCCAGGGGUCCUAAAGCCUUUGAUACCUUUCUAGAUUCUCUACAAGAAUUUCCCUGGGUACGAGAGAAGCUGGAGAAGGCAAGGGAAGAGACCAUCACCGAGCUGCCUAAAGAUGUCUGGAGGCGAGCAGAAGGAGAUGAAGAGGUUGAUAGAACACACGUGGCCCGUCUCACAGAGUUGAUACGAGGAUACAGAACGCGGAGUGAUUUACUCUCUAAUGGGAAAGCUAGUUGGUCUAGCCACCUUGCCUGACAGCUGAAGGACAUCACAAUGAAUAUUCAUCCAAGGCCAUCAGAAGGAAAGCAGAUCAGACACGAAAUUAAAAGAAAUGACAAACAAAUACCAUUUGUUCAAUACAAAAAAAAUACCAAAAUAAAAAUCUACCCUGCUCAAGAAGAUAUCCAUUUUUAAAAUCAGUUUAUUAGGAAAAUACAGACCCUGCUCACUUUGAAAUCCUAAACCUCUUCAGGCACAACUCAUUGCUAACAUGACGUACUUACCUCAAACAGUGAUAUUUUGGCAAAUGCGUAUGAGUAGCUGCAGUCGCAUAUAGAAAGCACUGGAAUGAUACAACAUGGUAUUUUGCUUUCUUAAAAAAAUGGGAACUGUCUUUGAUAAUGCGUAUGCCACAAACACCACUAAAAGUAAUUUGCAACUGGCAAGCUUUUUUUUUCCCCCUUUGGUAUUUUUUUUUCUGGUCUGAGAGAAGUUUUAAAAUAUAAAUUUUAUAACUGUAGUGCUUUUGGGAAUAAAGAGAAGAUUUUGCCAGCUUAUAUAAUUGGGAUAGGCUUUACUGUUUGUGUAAUAAUUGAAGAUGACUCAAACAGAUUUUCUCUGACUAACAUCAGAAAUGAAAAUAAAAAUCCUGUCUACUGCAGAUGGCAGUUGGCUUGCCUCGCCUCACCCGCUGGUGUGCGUGACCUGUGCGUCACCCCUGGAUAUGCGACUUCCUCCUCUCCUCACGCGCUGACCUGUGGGUCAGAAGUUAAAGCCGCUGCACUGAGGCUUCGGCAUUGCUCCUUGCCCCUCCGCUGUUCAGCAGUCUUCAUUCAGCCAGACAUGCCGUGGGAACUCCUGGCAGAAUAGCAAUAGGGGAGCAAGACUGGGUGACCAGGUGCCCGGGAUCCCCUCACACAUGCUCAACAGCUCCCCAUCGGACCAGCAGAUCAACCAGCUGGCCCAGAAGCUGGG